rnacentral:rRNA from 1 species
GACGAACGCUGGCGGCGUGCUUAACACAUGCAAGUCGAACGAUGAAGCCGGAGCUUGCUCUGGUGAAUUAGUGGCGAACGGGUGAGUAACACGUGAGUAACCUGCCCUUGACUCUGGGAUAACUGCUAGAAAUGGUAGCUAAUACCGGAUACGACCCUCGGAGGCAUCUCCAGGGGGUGGAAAGAAUUUCGGUCAAGGAUGGACUCGCGGCCUAUCAGCUAGUUGGUGAGGUAACGGCUCACCAAGGCGACGACGGGUAGCCGGCCUGGGAGGGUGAACGGCCACACUGGGACUGGGACACGGCCCAGACUCCUACGGGAGGCAGCAGUGGGGAAUAUUGCACAAUGGGCGCAAGCCUGAUGCAGCAACGCCGCGUGAGGGAUGACGGCCUUCGGGUUGUAAACCUCUUUUAGCAGGGAAGAAGCGAAAGUGACGGUACCUGCAGAAAAAGCACCGGCUAACUACGUGCCAGCCGCCGCCGUAA